UGAGGAAUAUUGGGCAAUGCCCGCAAGGGUGACCCAGCAACGCCGCGUGGAGGAUGAAUGUCGUAAGAUUGUAAACUCCUGUUAGAGGGGAAGAAUAGUACCGGUUGGACCGGUAUAUGACUGUACCCUCAGAGAAAGCCCCGGCUAACUACGUGCCAGCAGCCGCGGUAAUACGUAGGGGGCAAGCGUUGUCCGGAUUUACUGGGUGUAAAGGGCGCGCAGGCGGGAUAAAAAGUCAGUGGUGAAAUCCUACAGCUUAACUGUAGAACUGCCUUUGAUACUUUUAUUCUUGAGUUCGGGAGAGAGAGACGGAAUUCCAGGUGUAGCGGUGAAAUACGUAGAUAUCUGGAAGAACACCAGUUGCGAAGGCGGUCUCUUGGUCCGACACUGACGCUGAGGCGCGAAAGCGUGGGGAGCAAACA
rnacentral:rRNA from 1 species